rnacentral:rRNA from 1 species
AAAAACAUGUCUUUUUGUUUUUGAUUUAAGGUCUGACCUGCCCAAUGAUUAAUAUUUAAUGGCUGCAGUAUUUUGACUGUACAAAGGUAGCAUAAUCAUUAGUUUCUUAAUUGGAAGCUGGAAUGAAUGGUUUGAUGAAGAAUUUACUGUCUCAAUUUGAUUGCUUUAGAAUUUUAUUUUUAAGUGAAAAAGCUUAAAUUUUUUAAGAAGACGAGAAGACCCUAUAGAGUUUUACGUAUUUAGAGUUAUUUUUUUUUUGGUUUUAUUAUUUUUAAUUUUUUGUUACGUUUUGUUGGGGUGAUGCGAAAAUUUUUUUAACUUUUCUUAAUUUUUACACUAAUUAGUGAUUUAAUGAUCCUUUUGGACUAUAAGAUUAAAUUACCUUAGGGAUAACAGCGUAAUUUUUUUUGAAAGCUCUUAUUGAUAAAAAAGUUUGCGACCUCGAUGUUGGAUUAAAGUUUAUUUUUGGUGUAGAAGCUAGAUAAUUAAGUCUGUUCGACU